rnacentral:misc_RNA from 1 species
AAGACUAUAGACCUGCGGAGUACCUGCGGAAGGAUCAUUAAUGAGAAACUGCCCCUCGCGGGUAGAUCUCCCACCCUUUGUAAACUUACCUUUGUUGCUUUGGCAGGCCCGUCUCCGGACCGCCGGCUUCGGCUGGCCAGUGCCUGCCAGAGGAUUCUAAAACUCUGUCUGUCAGUGUUGUCUGAGUCUAUAUACAAUCGUUAAAACUUUUAACAACGGAUCUCUAGAUCGGAAGAGCAC